AGCGCAAUAGCGAGAGGCACACGCGCACUUCACUACGUUUCCAUUUUUCUUCGUGAAGGUGUUUUCGCAGGUUCGAUUCCUGCUUGCGCUC
rnacentral:tRNA from 1 species